rnacentral:rRNA from 1 species
CAUCAGGCGGGGCACCUGAUCCAGCCAUGCCGCGUGUGUGAAGAAGGCCUUCGGGUUGUAAAGCACUUUCAGAGGGAGGGGGGCUUAUCCUUAAUACGGAUGAGUACUUGACGUUACCUACAGAAGAAGCACCGGCUAAUUUCGUGCCAGCAGCCGCGGUAAUACGAAAGGUGCGAGCGUUAAUCGGAAUUACUGGGCGUAAAGCGCGCGUAGGCGGUUUGCUAAGUCAGAUGUGAAAGCCCCGGGCUCAACCUGGGAACUGCAUUUGAAACUGGCAGGCUAGAAUGCAGUAGAGGGAGGUGGAAUUUCCGGUGUAGCGGUGAAAUGCGUAGAGAUCGGAAGGAACACCAGUGGCGAAGGCGGCCUCCUGGACUGACAUUGACGCUGAGGUGCGAAAGCGUGGGGAGCAAACAGGAUUAGAUAUUUUGUUUAUUCCACGCCGUAAACGAUGUCUACUAGUCGUUGGGAAUCUUAGUAUUCUUGGUGACGAAGUUAACGCGAUAAGUAGACCGCCUGGGGAGUACGGCCGCAAGGUUAAAACUCAAAUGAAUUGACGGGG